rnacentral:rRNA from 1 species
AUUGAACGCUGGCGGCGUGCCUAACACAUGCAAGUCGAGCGGUAACAGGUGUAGCAAUACAUGCUGACGAGCGGCGGACGGGUGAGUAACGCUUGGGAAUCUGCCUGUUAGUGGGGGACAACCCGGGGAAACUCGGGCUAAUACCGCAUACGCACUACGGUGGAAAGCCGGGGACCGCAAGGCCUGGCGCUAACAGAUGAGCCCAAGUCGGAUUAGCUAGUUGGUAGGGUAACGGCCUACCAAGGCGACGAUCCGUAACUGGUCUGAGAGGACGACCAGUCACACCGGAACUGAGACACGGUCCGGACUCCUACGGGAGGCAGCAGUGGGGAAUAUUGGACAAUGGGCGAAAGCCUGAUCCAGCGACGCCGCGUGGGUGAAGAAGGCCUGCGGGUUGUAAAGCCCUUUCGGUGGGGAAGAAAGCCUCGAGUUAACACCUCGGGGUCUUGACGUAACCCAUAGAAGAAGCACCGGCUAACUCUGUGCCAGCAGCCGCAGUAAU